CUUCUCAGCCUUUUAGCUAAGAUCAAAUGUAAUAUGG
rnacentral:snRNA from 1 species